rnacentral:rRNA from 1 species
UACGGAGGGGGCUAGCGUUGUUCGGAAUUACUGGGCGUAAAGCGCACGUAGGCGGACUUUUAAGUCGGGGGUGAAAUCCCAGGGCUCAACCCUGGAACUGCCUUCGAUACUGGAGGUCUGGAGGUCGAGAGAGGCGAGUGGAAUGCCGAGUGUAGAGGUGAAAUUCGUAGAUAUUCGGCGGAACACCAGUGGCGAAUGUGGCUCGCUGGCGCGAUAGUGACGCUGAGGUGCGAAAGCGUGGGGAGCAAACAGG